CUCCCAUGUCCCCUUGUGUCCCCCCAGGUUCCCUUGUGUCUCCCCAUGUCCCCCGUGCCCCCCCAUGUCCCCCCAUGUCCCCCCAGCCCCCCAGCCCCUCCUGACCCCCCGCUCUCCCCCAGGUGCAGGUGGCUCCCAGCCCCUCCCCGCCGGGGCCGCACUGGGGGCCGGGGGUUCUGGAUGGGGGCGCCACUUUGAGGCCGCCCAGCGAGGCCCCCCCCCGGCAGCUGCUGUCCCCGUUCCUGGUGACGCUGCUGGUGCCGCUGGCGGUGGCCGCGCUGCUGUCCCUGCUCCUGGGCCACCUCAUGUGCUGCCGCAGGGAGGGAGUGGAAAAACGGGACUUGCAGACGUCUGACAUCCAGCUGCUCCAUCACAGCUCCAUCCUGGGCGACACGCGGGAGCUGCGGCUCAUGGCCGGCAGCAGGGACGUGCUCCGGGACGUGGCCCGGCCGCUCUCCACGCUGCCCAUGUUCAACAUCCGCACGGGGCAGCGCUCCGACCCCAUGGGCAGCGCCCGAGCCCCGCUGCUCCCGCCCUGAGCGGACACCCGAGCCGCGGCGACACCGCCAGAGAUGGGGACAGCGUGUCCCUGGAGGGGGGGGGGUUUGGGGGGACAAAACCCCGGUAAGGAGGAGGAGGAGGAGGAGGAGUUGUGGGUCCGGCUGGGCUCUGCCCGGAGGAUUUGGGGUGUCCCCGCUUUCGGGUGCAUAAAUUUGAGUUUUCAGCGAUGAAAAAUGAGGCUUUUCUGCUUUAUUGACGGGGUAGGUUUGGGGGUGCUAAAACUCGCAACCGCCCCCCCCCCCCAAAAAAGGUCUGGGGUGAGUCCGAGUGACCCCCCCCGGCCCCGUGGGGGGACAAGGGCCGGGGAUUGGGAUAAAGGGGGGACAUGGGAUAAAGGGGGGACAGGGGAUUGGGAUAAAGGGAGGGACAGGGGAUUGGGGCCGGGGAUAUAAGGGGGGAAGGACAGGGGGGACAGAAGCGGAUGGGGCCGGGGAUUGGGAUGAAGGGGGGGACACCCUCCCAGAGCCCCGCCAUGGCCCCCCCAAACCCCCGCAGCUCACCUGGGUGUCCGUGCCCGCCUGG
rnacentral:lncRNA from 14 species